rnacentral:rRNA from 1 species
UACGUAGGGUGCAAGCGUUGUCCGGAAUUAUUGGGCGUAAAGAGCUCGUAGGCGGUUUGUCGCGUCUGCUGUGAAAUCUGGGGGCUCAACCCCCAGCCUGCAGUGGGUACGGGCAGACUAGAGUGCGGUAGGGGAGAUUGGAAUUCCUGGUGUAGCGGUGGAAUGCGCAGAUAUCAGGAGGAACACCGAUGGCGAAGGCAGAUCUCUGGGCCGUAACUGACGCUGAGGAGCGAAAGACAUGGGGAGCGAACAGG